CCUACGGGAGGCAGCAGUGGGGAAUAUUGGACAAUGGGCGAAAGCCUGAUCCAGCCAUGCCGCGUGUGUGAAGAAGGCCUUCGGGUUGUAAAGCACUUUCAGUGGGGAAGAAAGCCUUGGGGCUAAUACCCUCGAGGAAGGACAUCACCCACAGAAGAAGCACCGGCUAACUCCGUGCCAGCAGCCGCGGUAAUACGGGAGGGUGCGAGCGUUAAUCGGAAUUACUGGGCGUAAAGCGCGCGUAGGCGGUCUGAUAAGCCGGUUGUGAAAGCCCCGGGCUCAACCUGGGAACGGCAUCCGGAACUGUCAGGCUAGAGUGCAGGAGAGGAAGGUAGAAUUCCCGGUGUAGCGGUGAAAUGCGUAGAGAUCGGGAGGAAUACCAGUGGCGAAGGCGGCCUUCUGGACUGACACUGACGCUGAGGUGCGAAAGCGUGGGUAGCAAACAGGAUUAGAUACCCCGGUAGUC
rnacentral:rRNA from 1 species